rnacentral:misc_RNA from 1 species
CUAAGGUUCCGUUGUUAUCCAGAGAAUCAAUCCCAACGCCCAUCUUGGCUCAUGGAUUCAUUACCUGAAUACCAUAGGCACUACUAGUCGUGACUAAGCAUGACAAGCAGGCGUAGAACUAGCAUGAUCCUGUCGGAUUAUAAGCACCUCACUGACAAUGAGACCAGUCUUACCUGUAUGCUGCUGAUCAACUGAUCGGAUUCUGAAGAAGCGUUUAAGACACAGUUUUACUAAGUCGCAAAAUGUCCAUCAGCAACCGACUGACAGAAGCCUUUAUUUCAUCUGG